UACGUAGGGUGCAAGCGUUAAUCGGAAUUACUGGGCGUAAAGCGUGCGCAGGCGGUGAUGUAAGACAGGUGUGAAAUCCCCGGGCUCAACCUGGGAAUUGCGUUGGAGACUGCAAGGCUAGAAUCUGGCAGAGGGGGGUAGAAUUCCACGUGAUAGCAGUGAAAUGCGUAGAGAUGUGGAGGAACACCGAUGGCGGCAGGCAGCCCCCUGGGUCGAAGAUUGGACGC
rnacentral:rRNA from 1 species